GGGAUUUUCUAAGAGGCAAUAUUUUUUUUUUGUACACCUAUAGAAGAAAUAUAUUUUUUUUCUCACUUGAUGGUUGGAAAUAUAUUUUUUUUAAGUGAAAUUUAUAGGCCUAUCAGUGGUGUAGUCCUGGAAUGUUAACAAGGGGGCUCUCCAAAGUGUCCUGAAUUGGCGGGAGGGGUGUACAAUAAGAUAUUUUGGAAAUUCUAAAUUUUGUUGGGGUUUAUUCUAGAAAUUGUGGGACAAACAUUCGACGUUAUUCUUAUUAAAAACAAAGGGGCUGAAAGCGAGGGCCGAAGGCCCGAGGAAAUUUUUAAAUUUAGAGUCUCUGAAAUGCCAUUUCCUGGACUUUGGGGAAGAUUUGACAGAAUUCUGAUGGUCAGAAAACAGCGUUUUAGUAUGUCGAAAUUUAC